rnacentral:misc_RNA from 1 species
AAGUCGUAACAAGGUAUCCGUAGGUGAACCUGCGGAUGGAUCAUUACCAAUUUAUAUGUUAGUUUGUAUACCGCUGUCAAAGGGGGUUAUACACAACUACUAUGUAAACGUUGAACUAGAUCAAUUGGUGUGGAUUGCUUGGGAAUGGACGAAGCGAUGAGCCUCUUCCGGACAGGCAAGCCCCACACUGAUAACCUUUUUCAUAUCAUUUACUCGUAUAUACUACCACAACAACAAAAACAAAAGCUAUAAUAGGACUUAUUAAUGGCUGAGUGGGUAACAUCCUCGGCUUAAACAUAUAACUAUUACAACUUUCAGCAAUGGAUCUCUAGGCUCUC